UACUAUGACCAUGCUACCCUGAACAAGCCCGAUCUUGUCUGAUCUCGGAAGCUAAGCAGGGUCAGGCCUGGUUAGUACUGGGAUGGGAGACCACCUAGGAAGACCAGGUACUGUAGAUG
rnacentral:rRNA from 1 species